rnacentral:rRNA from 1 species
CUUUACUGUAGCUUGGAAUUGAAUUUGGGUUUAUUUUGCGCAGUAUAGGUGGGAGGCUAUGAUAAUAUAUUUGCGGAUUUAUUUGAGCCAUUAGUGAGAUACCACUCUAAGUAAACUAGAAUUCUAACCUUGAUAGCCGUUAACCGGCCAAGAGACAGUUUCAGGUGGGCAGUUUGACUGGGGCGGUCGCCUCCUAAAAGGUAACGGAGGCGUGCAAAGGUUUCCUCAGACUGGUCGGAAAUCAGUCGUAGAGUAUAAAGGUAUAAGGAAGCUUGACUGCAAGACCUACAAGUCGAGCAGAGACGAAAGUCGGCCUUAGUG